rnacentral:rRNA from 1 species
GGGUGCGUAGGCGGUUGUAUUAGUCUCGUGUUAAAUCUUUGGGCUCAACCCAAAGCUCGCGCGAGAAACGGUACAACUAGAAGAAGUGAGAGGUGAACAGAACUCACGGUGUAGGGGUGAAAUCCGUUGAUAUCGUGGGGAAUACCAAAUGCGAAGGCAGUUCACUGGCACUUUCUUGACGCUGAGGCACGAAAGCGUGGGUAGCGAAUCGGAUUAGAUACCCGAGUAGUCCACGCCCUAAACGUUGUCCGCUGGUUUUGGGGAGUAUCGACCCUCUCCGAGACGUAGCUAACGCGUUAAGCGGACCGCCUGGGUAGUACGAUCGCAAGAUUAAAACUCAAAGGAAUAGACGGGGGCUCGCACAAGCGGUGGAGCGCGUGGCUUAAUUCGUCGCUAAGCGAAGAACCUUACCAAGGCUAGAAAUCCUACUGCAUCCCUAGGGAAACCUAGGGAGCCUUCGAGGGUGUAGGACAGGUGAUGCAUGGCCGUCGUCAGUUCGUGGCUUGAGCUGUUCCCUUAAGUGGGGAAACGAACGCAACCCUCGUUGUGUGUUAUACGUAUCACACGAGACUGCUCCCUCACGGGAGAGGAAGGUGAGGAUGACGCCAGGUCAGCAUGU